rnacentral:rRNA from 1 species
UACGUAGGGUGCAAGCGUUAAUCGGAAUUACUGGGCGUAAAGCGUGCGCAGGCGGCUUUGCAAGACAGAUGUGAAAUCCCCGGGCUUAACCUGGGAACUGCAUUUGUGACGGCAUGGCUAGAGUGCGGCAGAGGGGGAUGGAAUUCCGCGUGUAGCAGUGAAAUGCGUAGAUAUGCGGAGGAACACCGAUGGCGAAGGCAAUCCCCUGGGCCUGCACUGACGCUCAUGCACGAAAGCGUGGGGAGCAAACAGG